UGACCGCUGGCGGCAUGCUUUACACAUGCAAGUCGAACGGUAACAGGCCUUCGGGUGCUGACGAGUGGCGAACGGGUGAGUAAUGCAUCGGAACGUACCCAGAGGUGGGGGAUAACGCAGCGAAAGCUGUGCUAAUACUGCAUGUGAUCUGAGGAUGAAAGCGGGGGACCGAGCAGCAAUGUUUGGCCUCGCGCCUUUGGAGCGGCCGAUGUCGGAUUAGCUAGUUGGUGGGGUAAAGGCCUACCAAGGCGACGAUCCGUAGCUGGUCUGAGAGGACGACCAGCCACACUGGGACUGAGACACGGCCCAGACUCCUACGGGAGGCAGCAGUGGGGAAUUUUGGACAAUGGGCGCAAGCCUGAUCCAGCAAUGCCGCGUGCGGGAAGAAGGCCUUCGGGUUGUAAACCGCUUUUGGCAGGAACGAAACGGUGUCCGCUAAUACCGGGCGCUAAUGACGGUACCUGCAGAAUAAGCACCGGCUAACUACGUG
rnacentral:rRNA from 1 species